AUUGAACGCUGGCGGCAUGCCUUACACAUGCAAGUCGAACGGUAACAGGUUAAGCUGACGAGUGGCGAACGGGGGAGUAAUGUAUCGGAACGUGCCCAGUCGUGGGGGAUAACUGCUCGAAAGAGCAGCUAAUACCGCAUACGACCUGAGGGUGAAAGCGGGGGAUCGCAAGACCUCGCGCGAUUGGAGCAGCCGAUAUCAGAUUAGGUAGUUGGUGAGGUAAAGGCUCACCAAGCCGACGAGCUGUAGCUGGUCUGAGAGGACGACCAGCCACACUGGGACUGAGACACGGCCCAGACUCCUACGGGAGGCAGCAGUGGGGAAUUUUGGACAAUGGGCGCAAGCCUGAUCCAGCCAUGCCGCGUGCGGGAAGAAGGCCUUCGGGUUGUAAACCGCUUUUGUCAGGGAAGAAAAGGUUCUGGCUAAUACCUGGGACUCAUGACGGUACCUGAAGAAUAAGCACCGGCUAACUACGUG
rnacentral:rRNA from 1 species